rnacentral:misc_RNA from 1 species
GAUGAAGAACAUAGUGAAAUGCGAUAAGUAAUGUGAAUUGCAGAAUUCAGUGAAUCAUCGAAUCUUUGAACGCACCUUGCGCCCUUUGGCCAUUCCGAAGGGCAUGCCUGUUUGAGUAUCAUGAACACCUCAACUCUUUAUGGUUUUCCAUGAUGAGCUUGGACUUUGGGGGUUUUGCUGGCCUAUGGUCGGCUCCUCUAAAAUAAAUCAGCUUACCGGUGUUUGGUGGGUAUCAUGGGUGUGAUAACUAUCUACGCUUGUGGUUUUUCCACCAGGUAACCUUCGACAGCGGAGGUUCACUGGAGCUCAUAGAUGUCUCUCCUCAGCGAGGACAGCCCUUUGAAUGUUUGAUCUCAAAUCAGGUAGGACUACCCGCUGAACUUAAGCAUAUCAAUAAGCGGAGGA